AGUUCAUGAUUGGGGCAAUUCUUGACCAGUCCUUUAAAGCGCUCCCAUGCGGCACUUAAGGUUUCAAAUUCUUCUUGCUAAAAGUUCAUUAUCUCUCUCCGACU